rnacentral:rRNA from 1 species
UGGGGAAUUUUGCACAAUGGGCGCAAGCCUGAUGCAGCGACGCCGCGUGAGGGAUGAAGGCCUUCGGGUUGUAAACCUUUUUCGCUCAGGGUUAAGCCGCGGCUUUGGGUUGGGGUGGGGGAGGUGGGUAAAGAAGCGCCGCCUAAUUAGUGGCCGGCAGCUGCGGUAUGCGGUAGUUGCCGAUCGUCAUCCGGCUUUACUGGUUGUAAAGGGCGUGCAGGCGGGCUGAUAAGUCAGAUGUGAAAUCCCCGAGCUUAACUCGGGAAAUGCAUCUGAUACUGUUGGUCUUGAGUGCUGGAGAGGAUAGUGGAAUUCCUAGUGUAGCGGUAAAAUGCGCAGAUAUUAGGAGGAACACCAGUGGCGAAGGCGGCUAUCUGGACAGUAACUGACGCUGAGGCGCGAAAGCGUAGGUAGCAAACAGG